AGAAAAUAACUAUGAUUCCCUCAGUAACGGCGAGUGAAGCGGGAAGAGCUCAUUCUGUGAAUCUGUAUGCUCUUUUGGUAUACCGAGUUGUAGAAUAUAGAAGCACAUCAGUGCGAAUUCCGGUCUAAGUCUCUUGGAAAAGAGCAGCUAAGAGGGUGAGACUCCCGUUCUUGGCUGGAAUUCAAACUUUAGCAUGUGGUUUCGACGAGUCGAGUUGCUUGGGAUUGCAGCUCAAAGUUGGUGGUAAAUUCCAUCUAAAGCUAAAUAUCGGUGGGAGACCGAUAGCGUACAAGUACCGUGAGGGAAAGAUGCAAAGAACUUUGAAAAAAGAGUUAAAGAGUACCUGAAAUUGCUGAAAUGGAAGCGAAGGAAACCAGUGCCGUUCUGUAUCAUUCUUCCGUCCUUGCUUGCGAGGGUGGCGCUGUGAUGCAGGAUAGGCCAGCGUGGGUUUGAGCCGAAGGAAGCAGCUCUUCAGGAGGCAGCGCAAUUUCUGUGCGAUUACUGUUGAGCUUUGCUUCGGCUUGGACUGAGGCUAGUCACUUGUGCUCGUGACGCUGGCGAAAUGGUUUUACC
rnacentral:rRNA from 1 species